UGCUUCCCUCUGUUAACAAAAACAAAAAGUUUAGAUAUUUUAUUUGUAUUGUAGCUAUAAUUGGUCCGUCCGUUUCAGGGUAUCUGUCCAAAUAUGGAUAAUUCAGUCGACAACUUAAGCUUGAUGAAUAUGUUGAUAACUAGAAUAAUACAAAUGAACUUAAUUGUAGGUCCUCGUUAUAACACGUAUCAUGGUUCUGCAUGACGAUUUAUUCGAUAAACGGAUUUAUCUUUUAGGUCUAGGUACAUCGUCUUCGCUAAAAGCAAGAAAUGGACACAUACGAACAACAUAAUGUUAUCGCUUGGGUUGAAGUUUAAUUACUAUCUUGU